GACGAACGCUGGCGGCGUGCUUAACACAUGCAAGUCGAACGGAAAGGCCCUGCUUUUGUGGGGUGCUCGAGUGGCGAACGGGUGAGUAACAUGUGAGUAACCUGCCCUUGACUUUGGGAUAACUUCAGGAAACUGGGGCUAAUAUCGGAUAGGAGCUCCUGCUGCAUGGUGGGGGUUGGAAAGUUUCGGCGGUUGGGGAUGGACUCGCGGCUUAUCAGCUUGUUGGUGGGGUAGUGGCUUACCAAGGCUUUGACGGGUAGCCGGCCUGAGAGGGUGACCGGCCACAUUGGGACUGAGAUACGGCCCAGACUCCUACGGGAGGCAGCAGUGGGGAAUAUUGCACAAUGGGCGGAAGCCUGAUGCAGCAACGCCGCGUGAGGGAUGACGGCCUUCGGGUUGUAAACCGCUUUCGCCAGUGAAGAAGCGUGAGUGACGGUAAUGGGUGAAGAAGCACCGGCUAACUACGUG
rnacentral:rRNA from 1 species